AGCGGAGGAAAAGAAACUAACAAGGAUUCCCCUAGUAACGGCGAGUGAAGAGGGAAGAGCUCAAAUUUUAAAUCUGCCUUGUUCCAAGGUCGAGUUGUAAUUUGAAGAAGCGUUUUCUUGGGCUCGCGGCCGGUAGAAGUUCUUUGGAACAGGACAUCAUAGAGGGUGACAAUCCCGUCCGUGACCGGUCGUGCGUUCAUCUACGAUACGCUUUCAAAGAGUCGAGUUGUUUGGGAUUGCAGCUCCAAACGGGUGGUAAACAUCACCUAAGGCUAAAUAUUGGCGAGAGACCGAUAGCGAACAAGUACCGUGAGGGAAAGAUGAAAAGAACUUUGAAAAGAGAGUUAAACAGUACGUGAAAUUGUUGAAAGGGAAACGAUUGAAGUCAGUCGUGCUGGCGCGAAAUCAACCCUCUCGUCUUGAGAUCACAUGGCGCGACGAGCCUCAAAACCGUCACGAAGCGUGAACUCUUGACGAAAAGGUGCACUUUCGUGUCCGCUGGUUAACAUCAAUUUCGAACGUCAUAAAAAGGCUGGAGGGAUGUGGCUCCUUCGGGAGUGUUAUAACCUUUAGCGGAAUGUGGCGUUCGGGAUUGAGGAUUGCAACGAAUACCUUCAGGGCUGUUCCACCUGGCUUCUCAUUGGUAUCCUGGUGACGACAGCUUGCUGACGUCGUUAGGAUCAGCUUCUGAACAGGCUAGAGUGUGAGCAAAUUCGUUAAGGAUGUUAACGUAAUGGCUUUAAACGACCCGUCUUG
rnacentral:rRNA from 4 species